rnacentral:pre_miRNA from 1 species
UACAAUGUUUAACUCUCCAUCUUAUUAAAAAAUUUAUGAUUAAUAAUUUUAUUUUUAUUAAAUGAUAAAACACGAAUAGUAUUUUAUGUGUGACUAAUUUUUUAAGUUUUUUUAAAAUUUUUUCAAAUAAGACGGAAGGUCAAAUGCUUGACAAAAAACCAAAAGGUUG